CACGUAGGGGGCAAGCGUUGUCCGGAUUUAUUGGGCGUAAAGAGCUCGUAGGUGGUUCGAUAAGUCGGGUGUGAAACCUCCAGGCUCAACCUGGAGACGCCACCCGAUACUGUCGUGACUAGAGUCCAGUAGGGGAGCGUGGAAUUCCUGGUGUAGCGGUGAAAUGUGCAGAUAUCAGGAGGAACACCAGCGGCGAAGGCGGCGCUCUGGGCUGGCACUGACACUGAGGAGCGAAAGCGUGGGGAGCGAACAGG
rnacentral:rRNA from 1 species